ACUCCACCUCUGAACUGUACAACCUGCUGUGCUUUCUAGCUAUUCUAUUUAUAUGUAGCCAUACAUUGGUACAGUUAAUUCAUAAACAUGAUUCAAUAGGAUUUGAUAUUUUUUUCAUGUCUCAAGUUUUUAGCUCUUCCCUCUUGGUGUGCAAAUCUUUUAGAGGGAAUUUGGUGUGCCAAUUAUUUUCCUGAUUACUGUAGUUAUAGUUUUUCUCACUGUUAGAGCAGAGUAAAAUUCAAACUAUGAUAUUAGUGGUGGUUAGCUGAUAACUUGAUCAUAACAGGGGGCACACUAAUCUUCUUUCUUUUCUUCUCUAACAAAGUAUUAAUAUUAUAAGAAUGUUGUUUUCUUCUUUCAUAAUCUGACAAAUAAAAUUUCCCCUAAUUUCAGUUUGGAUAAGUCAAGGUUGCUUUUGGAUCUUAGUAGAAGAUAGACGUUAUGGAUUUAGACAAAAAUAGAUGUGGAUUUAGGGGUUCCGUAUGAUACUCAUGUCUUCUCUAUUUGGGGUACAAGUUCAAGUGAUCUUUUAGGCUACUAUUGAAGGGAAAUAUGUAUGCCGUUUUGUUCAUUUCAUCUCCACCUACCCACCUCGCAUCUACACAAUCCAACUACUCAAAGGAACAUACAGUUCUAGAAGUGAGAACUGUUGAGCUAUUAUAGCGCAGCCUUGGGAUGAUGGAUGUUCAGGCCAGCUAUGCAGACCUUAAGGUAAAUGUUUUUCCAGCUAAUUAACAUGAAAUGUCUUGUAACUUGAACUAAUAAUGAACAACUGAGGAAUGCUGCCUGAAUGAAUCCAAAAUGUGUUGGAAACACCAACGUCCAGUUGGAGAGGGAGCUAUCUGGAUCUCCAUCCAACUAGGACAUGUCUUCUUACAACUUUUUGUUGAACAUGAUAUUACAUGAUUCUAUCAAAGACAACUCUCCUUUCUUCAGUGUACAUGCAUGAUAUUACAUGAUUAAACAUACCAUUUUUAACUUCAUUUAGUUGUCUAUAUUAUGCUCUAUGUGCUAUCACCAACAAAAAUAGUGUUACCUCCGUACCAGGCCUACCAAAUAUCUUAUAUUUUGGUACACAUGUAGUAUUUUUAGCCUGCAAAGCGACUCCUAUGCCCAGUGUGCCAAUAAUGUGUUUGCACCAGUGAAGAGAUAACUUAUUUUUUACAUUGUAAGAAAUACAGCCUGUUUCUUCCCCAUCAUUUAAGUGUGUGGCAUGCUAUCUUUGUUCAUGUUGCUGGCUGUACAUUUUCAGUAUUGUCAGGAUAUAUCUGAUUAUGAUGAUGUUCAAUACUACUCCCUCCGUUCCUAAAUAUUUGUUUUUCUAGACAUUUCAAAUGACUAUCACAUACGGAUGUAUGUAGACAUAUUUUGAAGUGUAGAUUCACUCGUUUUGCUCCGUAUGUAGUCACUUGUUGAAAUCUCUAGAAAGACAAAUAUUUAGGAACGGAGGGAGUACUUUGGAGCCGCAACUUUUUGGACUGCUUGAUGUUUAUAACCAAUGAGACUACUUUUUUGGUUGUUGGCUGGAGCUAUCACUAUGACUGGAUUUGUUUUCACCCAAGUAGAUUUAUAUGGUCAUCAAAAACCAACGACAGGUCAACACUUGUCAGCAGUUUGCAAUUUGUAUUACAGUAUGCCUAAGCCAAUGGUCAGACAAUGUUGUUUUAGUUAGGAAAUGUAGAAAAUGUGGUCAUGAUUUAUGUAGAUUCGACAGUCCCUUCAAACUGCAGUCUUCAACCUUGAGUGGACCAUCUAACUAUAUGUUUCCUUGUAGAAAAUUGACUAUAUGUUCCAUGAAUUGACUGGUUAUUUUGGCCCGAUCAGAUUAAACUAGGUCUUGAUUUGAAGGUCCAGCUAAGGCAGCUGGUGCUGGUUUAUUUGUUGUAAUACUAACUGUGCUAUUUAGACAGAGACAUGUGGUCUUUCUCAUUCCUCGAAAUUUUCCUUUGCUACCAAGAUUUUCCAUUCUAGGUUGUGGAAAAAUACAUGUAGCAUUCCUUCUACAAGUCGUCAUGAGCUGGGAUAUAGAAGAAGAGAGCCGACGAGAAGUCGCACAGCGGUUCGCUCCGGUGUGGCUGCCAAUGGCGUUGCGCAAAGUGCAGAUUACAGGCUAGAUGCGUACGAGUCCGUCCCUACUUCCACGACGUGGAAGCAAAGGAAAUCGAGUCAAUUAGAUAGUAUAUUUGGUUAUGUAAGUUGUCUUUUGUGUAUGCAGUUUUACCAUUAUUUUGUAAAAGCUUUGAGUUUUUGAUAAUGUAAUUGUCUUACUAAUCACACUUUUAAUCUAUUCGUGCCAAGGCUAACAGCCAAGUUAUGCACAAGCUGUUGAUGUUUCCUUGA